rnacentral:sRNA from 1 species
UAUCUCUCCGUACGGGGAAGGAUGAGAAGCUUCGACUAAGGUUCGAUUCGAGCGCAGCGAGAAAGCGUUGCCGCAGGCAACGGCCCGAAGGGCGAAGCGCGCAGCGCUGAGUCAUCCUUCCCCCACCACCA